rnacentral:rRNA from 1 species
AAACCAGCACCUCAAGUGGUCAGGAUGAUUAUUGGGCCUAAAGCAUCCGUAGCCUGUUCUGUAAGUUUCCGGUUAAAUCCAUUAGCUCAACUAAUGGGCUGCCGAAAAUACUGCAAAACUAGGGAGUGGGAGAGGUAGACGGUACUCGGUAGGAAGGGGUAAAAUCCUUUGAUCUAUUGAUGACCACCUGUGGCGAAGGCGGUCUACCAGAACACGUUCGACGGUGAGGGAUGAAAGCUGGGGGAGCAAACCGGAUUAGAAACCCUGGUAGUCC